GUAAAUGUAAGCUCAGUGGUAGAGUGCUUGCCUGAUGUGCAGGGGUACUGAGGUUCAGUACCCAGGACCUACC
rnacentral:tRNA from 1 species